AAAUUUUAAAAACUUCAAAAUGUUUUUUAUUGAACCUUUAAACAUAUCAAUAUAAGUAAAUGCCAUACACUUAUGACAAGGCCCGGCGUAACAGUUACUUGCAAACCCGUUACUUCCGUUACUCUUACUAAGUUACUUACUAAGUGCUCAAAUUGUGUUUCCCGCAGGGCCCCGGAAAUCAUCCUCGUAUUGCCCUUUUGCGAUGCUAUAGACAUCUGAUUCUUAGGUUGCGUGGUCACUGAGUUAUUCCUAGACAGGCCGCUCUAUCCUGGCUCAUGAUCAAAUUCGGUACAUGGAACAUGGCUCAGACGCAGGGCUUGCACACUGAGCACAUGCUCAACAACGCAUCGAAUACUGCGGGAUUUUUCGACAACGAUAUGACUAGUACAUCUCGAUUGCAUGGUUGGCAAUUCAAGACGCCCGAAGAACAUCAGACAGAAUCGGGGAUUAAGUCGAAAUUAACCGGCAAAUACAUCUUCGACUGCUUGGAUGAUAUCGGUAAUAAGCUGGUAAUAAACUCCUGAACAACAUGAGGCGGAAGCGGGGAUUAAGUCGAAACAAGCCCGCAGGUCAAGUGAACGUUCCUAUUGAUUUGGGAGGAGAACAAUUAUUGGCCGAAACAGUGGACCGCACGGAAUUCAUUGACCUGAAAAGGAUGCUAACUAUGGAUGAGGAGGUUCGAAUUACACCAGAAGAAGUUCUCAAUCAUGAUUUGUGGGGUUGGCGCAUCUGAUUUGCUACGCUCAGUGUAGCAACAUGAAAGCCAGCGUGCAGAUGAUGAAAAUGUGUUUGCAUGUUGCAGCGCAGCGACAGCAGCACGACAGCUGCAGCUGCGGACCACCCACCAGCAGUAGGUUGUUAAUACGCAAUCCCUUCCCGUAUCAGUUGCAUGGGGGCCUCACUGAAAUAUCCAUGGUCGGACCAAGAUUUUGAUUGUGGUUAGCGGACCACCUUCCCGCUGGUUACACCACAACUUACUCAUGAAUGAACAGAACAUCCCCGAGGGGGCGGCAUGACGACGUUUACAGCUUGGAUGCUGCUUUCAAAAAUUUCAGGUGUCACACAGCAUUAGCACCUGAACUGUGUACCACCUGUACUGUGUGUGAAAUUGUAAUAAACAACAUACUAAAGUCUGAUUCAUUUAUUUGUUCUGCGAUCGUUGUUAGCAGACCGUCUCAAAACAUUAAUAAGUCGCAAAAAGUACUUGUUUUAAUAAUUUUAAAGACGUUAGUAAUGAAUUUGUGACUUGGCAUAUAAAGCUAGUGAUUAGGCGACUUGUCCACUUUGUUUCCUAUGUUGACGUGCCCGUCCCACAGACUACAUAUUACUACUGCAGCAGAAGUGGUAAAAGAGAUAUACUUCCUUACGAUCAAAGAAAAAGAGCUUUAGAGUCUCAAGGUUGCAAAAAAAUUGGUUUCUUUUGUACAUCGGUCAUUAUUUUAAAAAGCAAUAAUGAUUAGUUUAAAGUAACUUAUUGUAAAAGUCAUUAUGGACAUGACGUUAAACUAGCUCAUAUGCCAUUACCUUUAAAAGCUAAAAAUAUGAUAGCAACUCAGUUAAUUCAAGGUGAAUAUACAUACUUCAGUAAACAUAUUUUAUUCACUACGUAUGUUUGAUAUUGCUAUGGGUUUAUUACUUGAUGUUUGUUGUAGGUGUUCCUCCCUCUCAAAUUUUAAACAAAAUCCGAGUGUUGAUGCUGAUUUUCAAAGAUUACGUCUUACUACCAAAUUAGAUAUCCAUAAUAUCUUGAGAAGUUAUAAUUUGUAUGAUUCAGCUGUCCAAAGUAAUAAUGAUGCUUUGAGUGUAUAGUAAAUAUGGAUAGAACAGCAAACUAACAAAAAUAAUAAUGUAGUAUUAUUAUACAAAAAGCAAGGAGAGGUGCAUCCAGAGUUUAGACAGUUACAUCAGGAUGAUUUUGUUCUUGGGUUUAUGACGAAAUGAUGAAGAAAUUUGGUGCUGAAGGGAUUAUUUGAAUGGAUGCUACUCAUGGCACUAAUCCAUACGAUUUUAAAUUGAUUACCAUCUUAGUGCUAGACGAUUUUGGAGAAGGGUUUCCUGUAGCUUUUUUAUUUUCAAAUAGUGAAGACUUUACAGUUUUGCAGCUUUUUAUUAAUGCAGUAAAAAAUGUUGCUGGUACAGUACGAGCUGCCACAUUUAUGUCAGAGGAUGCUGAACUAUAUUUCAUUGCUUGGAGUGCGGUAAUGGAUGUUACGAAAACCAAGAAGUUAUUGUGUAUAUGGCAUGUGGAUAGAGCUUGGAGGGCUAAGCUAAAUCUUAUAAAAGAAAAAUCUAAACAAGUAGAAGUGUAUAAAAUGUUGUGUAUAUUGAGGCAAGAAUCCGGCAUAGAUGAAUUUAAAAAACUUUUAGCAUCUUUUAAGCUUUUGCUGCAAAGUGAUCCAGAAACAAAAGAAUUUUCAGAAUAUUAAAAAAAAAAAUAUGAAUUUAGAACAAAUGUAUGGGCGUCU
rnacentral:lncRNA from 1 species